CGAGGCUAGCCUAGCCGCUAUGAAGAAUUUAGCCCCUCCAGCCGUCUUUUGUCUCAGCCGUUGCGCGGCAGGUCCUUGGCGCGCUUUUAGGCGCGAUCCAGGCGCCCUCAGCAACUUUUCGCCUUUAGCCACAUAUUCCUAUUCUUCUCAUUAUUAGCCAAUAUUAUUAAUAAUGUCCUGUCCAGCAGCCCCCGUCCAUUAGGAGCAGAAAUGUCGCAGGUCAAGCCUACUGCUGGGCUAGGCUUCGGCGUCCUGGAAAACAAUGGGCACACCGUUUUGAACAGUUUU